rnacentral:rRNA from 1 species
CCUACGGGAGGCAGCAGUGGGGAAUAUUGCACAAUGGGCGCAAGCCUGAUGCAGCCAUGCCGCGUGUGUGAAGAAGGCCUUCGGGUUGUAAAGCACUUUCAGCGGGGAGGAAGGCGUUAAGGUUAAUAACCUUGUCGAUUGACGUUACCCGCAGAAGAAGCACCGGCUAACUCCGUGCCAGCAGCCGCGGUAAUACGGAGGGUGCAAGCGUUAAUCGGAAUUACUGGGCGUAAAGCGCACGCAGGCGGUCUGUCAAGUCGGAUGUGAAAUCCCCGGGCUCAACCUGGGAACUGCAUUCGAAACUGGCAGGUUAGAGUCUUGUAGAGGGGGGUAGAAUUCCAGGUGUAGCGGUGAAAUGCGUAGAGAUCUGGAGGAAUACCGGUGGCGAAGGCGGCCCCCUGGACAAAGACUGACGCUCAGGUGCGAAAGCGUGGGGAGCAAACAGGAUUAGAUACCCCAGUAGUC